rnacentral:rRNA from 1 species
AACGAACGCUGGCGGCAGGCCUAACACAUGCAAGUCGAGCGAGGACUCCGGCUCUAGCGGCGGACGGGUGAGUAAAGCGUGGGAAUGUGCCUUUCUCUAUGGCCUAGCCCUGGGAAACAGGGCGUAAUACCGUAUCUGCUCUCUUGGGGAACGAAUUAUCGGAGGAGGAUCAGCCGGCGGUGGAUUAGCUAGUGGGUGGGGGAAUGGCCCACCAAGGCGACGAUCCGUAGCUGGUUUGAGAGGAUGAUCAGCCACCCUGGGACUGAGACACGGCCCAGACUCCUACGGGAGGCAGCAGUGGGGAAUUUUGGACAAUGGGGGCAACGCUGAUCCAGCCAUCCCGCGUGUGCGAUGAAGGCCUUCGGGUUGUAAAGCACUUUUGGCAGGAAAGAAACGUCGCGGGCUAAUACCCCGUGGAAAUGACGGUACCUACAGAAUAAGCACCGGCUAACUACGUG